AGGAGACAAAGAACCGGGCCAAGAAUCUGAGCAAACGGAGAGCAGCUCCCUGCGGGGGCUCAGGAAACACUUGCCAGCGUCCACCGGUUGGAGAGCUGGCGCCUGCUCAUCUGAGGGCAGGUCAUGUGGACGGCAGUGGGGCCACCGAGGGCUGGCACACAGAAGAAUGCGGACGGUCCUCUAGAAGCAGAAGGAACGGCCCUCUGAGGGUCAGUCUCAAUUUGCCGGCACCAAGCAGCAUCCCCGCACAGCACGUGAAUUCUCGUGAGACACCACAGUGACUCGUAUUGACAUGCAGUGAGCUCUUCACUAAAGUUUGAAAACACUGCCAGAUUACUUUCCAAAAACACCCUAGCAGUUCCCACUUCCCAUCCACCGGGUCUGCCAGCCCAGAAGCGUCCUGAAACUUCCCCAGCACAGAGCUGUGCUUUCGCCCUUCCCCAUCCCUUGCUGGUUGAGAGCAGCAUCUCAUCAUUGCCUUGGGUCAGUAUCUACUCAGAUGCUCAGCAUCCACUUCCGAAUGUUUUCU